GAAGCCAGGAUAUUCUUUGUUUGGUACAAAACAUUUUAAUCAUUUGUAUAAACUAAAAAGUGUGCUACAUUUAUAUGUUUUUGUAAAGUUUGCCAUACAAUCUGAAAAUGGAAAUCUGCUCCCACCUGAAGAAGGAAUAUCUGAAUAUCUUUUCCCAGCUAACUCCUUCCUGGGAGAUACAGUGCCAAGUACAAAUUAUGAGAAUGUGCCCUUGUAAGAUGUUGCCAGAUGGUCUCUACCACAGUCACUGAUCCUUCUUGUUCAACAGGACAACGAAGGCUGCCAAAGCAUAUGCACAUUCUAGUUGGAGCAAUUGCCCAGAGUCACACAUCUUUAAAUCUUAUAUCCAACAGCACUGGUUUGCAGUCAAAACCAGUUGCUGAUUUAGUGAAAUCACCCAUUUUUCGAUUUUAUUCUAAAUUAGGAGGUGUCGGGAGUCUUUGUGGGUGCUACCAGGGGAAAUAAAAAAUGCCAAUGUCACUAGCAUCAACAGUCAAGGGAAAAGGCAGAAAGAAGAGAAAGAAAGGGAAAGGUUAAUAAAGGGGAAAAUGAGGAGGAGAUAAGGAUGUGUUGAGAUAGGGAAUGUCUGGGUAUCACUGCCUCCACCUCAUGUGCCACUUAAGGCCACCCUCCUCUGACCAGAGACCAAAGUAAGAACCAAAAAUUGCCCAGGGCAAGCAGCAUGAAAUUCAUCUUCAGUUAAAUGACAACGGUGGUGAUGGCUGCAGCAGAGAGAAAGUCCCAGAAAGCUGUGCUUGAUGAAACCACUGACUGAUCCCGUGGGGAAGACCGUAACUCGGUUUCUGGACACAGCUGUAGCAGCCUGUGUAACUGUAUUAUAUUGAACUAAGGCUGUCAUUGAGUUUGAGAUCUGUUUUAAACACUGCUGAGGAAACAGUGAACAGAGAGACUAUGAAGAACGUGGAGCUUGGCCUCUAUAUCACUUGAACCAGUCGGGAGAAGAUGGAGAUGCAAUUAUGCAGUGACUUGUCAGAGCUUUCAUGGAUUGAGCACAUCAGCCUUUUACUUUAAUUCAAAGAGAGGACUUAAUAUCUCAGUAAAUCAUCAGAGUUUGUGCAUUUUUAUUAUGUUCCACUAGCUAAAAUUUCCCCUAACUUAAGGAAUAUUUUGUUCAAUUCUCUGAACUGUUUAUGAUGUGAUCCAAAUGGCCUAAGUGGGGUUUUGGACAUCUUCAAAAAGAACUAGACAGUUUUUGAUAACUUUCCCAAAGAUGUAUAUUUGUUAAUGCUAAAUGAAUUAAAAUCUGAUGCAAGUCA